AACUGCGCUUUCCGGAACGCCCUUAGCCUUCUUGGGAAGGUAGCGGCCGCAGUCUGUCGUGGAGUUGGACGGUUUCUGAGCGUUCGUGUCCUUACCCGCCAUCUCCCUUCCUUUGGUUCCCACGAUGCCGAUGUACCAGGUAAAGCCCUAUCACGAGGGCGGUGCAUCUCUCCGUGUAGAGCUUCCCACCUGCAUGUACCAGCUUCCCAACGUGCACGGCAAGACCAGUAGUCCUGCGCCAGCCGCGGGCCACGUGCAGGAGGAGUCUGACCCGUCGCUUCGAGCCCUUGAGUCCUGCCAAGAUGACAUUUUAAAACGUCUGUAUGAAUUGAAAGCUGCAGUUGAUGGUCUCUCCAAGAUGAUUCAGACGCCAGAUGCGGACUUGGAUGUCACCGACAUCAUCCAAGCCGAUGAGCCCACUGCUUUCUCCACCAAUGCAGUGGACUUAAAUUCCAUGCUCGGAAAGGACUACGGGGCGCUGAAAGACAUCGUGAUCAACGCGAACCCCACCUCACCACCCCUCUCCCUGCUCGUGCUGCACCGGCUGCUCUGUGACCACUACAGGGUCCUGUCCACGGUGCACACGCACUCGGCAGUCGAGGGUGUGCCAGCAAACCUCCUCAGGUGCUUCGGCGAGCAGACAAAGCAGCAGCCCCGCCAUGAGUAUCAGCUGGGCUUUACUCUGAUUUGGAAGAACGUGCCGAAGACGCAGAUGAAAUUCAGUGUCCAGACGAUGUGUCCCGUCGAAGGAGAAGGGAACGUCGCACGCUUCCUGUUCUCCCUGUUUGGCCAGAAGCACGAUGCUGUAAAUUUAACCCUCAUCGACAGCUGGGUAGAUACAGCGAUUUUUCAGCUCAAAGACGGGAGCAGUAAAGAAAAAGCCGCUGUGUUCCGCGCCAUGAACUCCGCUCUCGGGAAGAGCCCCUGGCUGGUGGGGGACGAGCUCACGGUGGCAGACGUCGUGCUGUGGUCCGUGCUCCGGCAGACGAGAGGCUGCGGGGCGCCAGCACCAGCCAACGUGCAGAGGUGGAUGAGGGCCUGUGAGAACCUGGCCCCUUUCAACACCGCCCUGCGGCUCCUUCAGUGAAUCCCUCACUGAUUUAAAGGGCUUCCAUUUGAAGAAUGGUGCUGUUCCGUGCCUAUUACUGCAACACCGUGUGCAGUGUACUGUGACAACUGCCAGCUACGUGGCAGGCACACUGGGAUACAAACAGGAACGUGUGACGUCACUGCCUCUGGGGAAUGCGGAUGGUGGGGAACCGAGUCUGUGCUGAAGGAGGAAGCACCGCGGGGGCAAAAGCGGAGACACUGCUGGUGGAGCUGCUUCGAGAUCAUUUUGGGGACAAAGGAGCACAAAGCUUUGAAAGGGCCUGGGCCUGGGAUGAUGCCAAGGUGAAGGCAAAGACGACAGAAAGAGGCUGGGUGCUGUGCCCGUGCAGAGACGAGGGGCAGCAGACACUUCAGAGCCAGUGGCCUUCUGGUAAUGGGCUCGGGCCGCAGUGGGGAUGGAAGAGUUGUUAGGGAGACAGGCAGUGUCCCAGCUGGAACAGUCCAGCUGGUGCACACACCUGGGCAGUGAUGGGUCUCUGCGGUAGAACCUUAUAGAGGACUUUAUGGUCAGUAGGCAGAGCUCCAAAGAGCCCACGAUUUUAGAGACUGGCUAGAUGGCAAGAGUAAAGUAGGAGGUCCGGGAAGGGAGCUGGUAGGACAGGAGAGGAGCAGGAGCAGAACGGGUUCCAUCUAGUGUGGCCUCGAGUUCAGAAUGCCAGCCUUGAAGAGCUACUGCAGGAAAAAGCAGCGGGGUACUUUCACAACCUCACCUUAAUAAGGCUUACUAAACACAGGUAAGUAUCAGACCAUCUAUACCCUAACAGAGAUUGAAAAUUUACAUUCCAGUUGACUAGAGAGUUUCAGUCCGCUUUCAUACUUAUAGAGGCUGCUGAGGUGAGACACCGACCCCCUCAUCCUUCCCGUCAUCCCUAACCCCUCUGUCCCGAGACAGGAGGCUCAGCUGCUGCUUUAGUUCCUUGAUUUCUUUUUCUUGCUCUAGUAUCUUCAUCUGUAGGGUGAGGUUCACCUGCAAAGAGAGAAAAUUUUAAGCUCCAUGAAAAUGUCUUCCUCCCUGACUUUUAAACACGCAGGCCUGCCUCGCUCUGCACAGCUCCGCUACGUGUGGGUUCCAGUGUUCCCGGUUUGUUACAUAUCACCCAGCACAGGGUCGAGUGUCAGUUACCAAGGGACAGUGACAGUAAUUCCAUUAGUCCUUCAGGCCGUAAAAUGCUACGUGAAUAGCCAUGCAUGUCACAACCGGGGACAGCCCCACGCUUCUUUCACUUUCGCUGGGGGUGGUCACUGAGCACGUGUUAGUGGUGCACACAGGCAACAUCUCCCAGGAUAAACCCACAUGACCCUGUAGACAAAUGGAUCAUCGCGGGGGACUUGGCCCACGGAGAUCAAAGUGCAGCAAAGUAAUGAAAAGUUGCGGUGAUGCUGCGAGUGAAAACCAAAUCGAACAUGAACAGUGUUAACAGCUGAAACAGCUGAUCCUGGGAAUGCUGACCCCGCCACCAGCGGACAGACUUGAAGACGUCUUCUCAACAUAAACAGGAAAAAGAUAAAGAUAUCCCAGAAAAAACGCCACAUUAAAAGAACCCUUAGACACAGAUCACAACACCCAAAGUGCCAAGGAUAAAAUGCCGGAAACAGACCCAAACUUAGGAGUAGGAUGAGUCACCAGGGCACAGAAAAGACACCCCUCCGUGCCCUACGUUACGAGACAGAUGCAGGCAGGCACCUUUCAAACUACUCUUGAAACACUUGAAUUCUCAAUUAUAGUUUUGUAACUUUUCACUUCCGCAUACAUCUGUAACUGACAAUAAAGACUUCUAAUGUUUUGACAAACGCUUUUAGAGGUCAUGGGACAGCUGUAACUUUUCCCAUUGAUUAUGAAGACCGCUCGGCGUGCCCUGAGCUCUGCAUGGUCAUUUUUACAGUCCAGCACCACCGUGCAAAGCAAGGGCGCCUGUCUCUGCAAAGUUCUCCGUACAGGUUAUGUGCAGGUGAUUUUAUAAAUAAUUCUACAAGACAGGAGAAAUUCUUACCCCUACUACCAAAUAACUAUGGUCUCUAAUAGCUGUCUUUGCAAGGAGCUAAAAAAUUCUCUCCCUGUGAGGCAAUAAA